GGGGAAUUUUCCGCAAUGGGCGAAAGCCUGACGGAGCAAUACCGCGUGAGGGAUGAAAGCCUGUGGGUUGUAAACCUCUUUUCUCAAGGAAGAAAUUUUGACGGUACUUGAGGAAUAAGCAUCGGCUAACUCUGUGCCAGCAGCCGCGGUAAUACAGAGGAUGCAAGCGUUAUCCGGAAUCACUGGGCAUAAAGCGUCUGUAGGUUGCCUAGCAAGUCUGCUGUUAAAGAUCAGGGCCUAACCCUGGGAAAGCAGUGGAAACUACUAGGCUUGAGUGUGGUAGAGGUAGAGGGAAUUCCUGGUGUAGCGGUGAAAUGCGUAGAUAUUAGGAAGAACACCAAUGGCGAAAGCACUCUGCUGGGCCACAACUGACACUAAGAGACGACAGCUAGGGGAGCAAAUGGGAUUAGAUACCCCAGUAGUC
rnacentral:rRNA from 1 species